ensembl:lncRNA
GAUGCCUUCAGCUUGUGUAGUGCAGGUUACUUGGCAGUGGCCUGGGGUUUGGAGUAACAGGGGAAUGGAUGUGUCACGAGACGUCUCAAGUGGACGUUUUAAAAGUCUGAAAGAGGCACAAAUGUGUUUGGAGCGAGACGAGGGCAGUCUGUUCACACGUGUCGAGGGUCAGUGAAGUUCAACAGGAUGGGAAGAAGUGAGACGGGACUGAAUGUGAGCUGACAGCAGCAUGGUACGCUGUGGGCAGGACAGGACAUGAACUCAUGGAAACUGGACAGCAAGAAAAGGAGAAACGGCAAGCUUCCACGACUGCGGCCCUUCCCCGAGAUGCAUUAGAGCUGUCACUUCCACCGCAGAAAUAUGACGUCUGCACGCUAAUGAUUUGCAGCCCUGCGUGCAGAGAUGCCGUCCAUGAAUCACACAAAUGCAUUCACGCAUCCGCAUCAGCAGAGUGAGAUUUACGCUGCGGUGGUUAUCAUGCUAAUGCAUUGUAAGAACACAGUAAAUCACAGCACAUACUGUAUCAGCUCCGCCCUGAUGAUUCCCUCCAUGUGCUGCUUUACAUGCCAUAUAUAUAUAC